rnacentral:rRNA from 1 species
AUUGAACGCUGGCGGCAGGCCUAACACAUGCAAGUCGAACGGUAACAGGAAGCAGCUUGCUGCUUCGCUGCCGAGUGGCGGACGGGUGAGUAAUGUCUGGGAAACUGCCUGAUGGAGGGGGAUAACUACUGGAAACGGUAGCUAAUACCGCAUAACGUCGCAAGACCAAAGAGGGGGACCUUCGGGCCUCUUGCCAUCGGAUGUGCCCAGAUGGGAUUAGCUAGUAGGUGGGGUAACGGCUCACCUAGGCGACGAUCCCUAGCUGGUCUGAGAGGAUGACCAGCCACACUGGAACUGAGACACGGUCCAGACUCCUACGGGAGGCAGCAGUGGGGAAUAUUGCACAAUAGGCGCAAGCCUGAUGCAGCCAUGCCGCGUGUAUGAAGAAGGCCUUCGGGUUGUAAAGUACUUUCAGCGGGGAGGAAGGGAGUAAAGUUAAUACCUUUGCUCAUUGACGUUACCCGCAGAAGAAGCACCGGCUAACUCCGUG